rnacentral:tRNA from 1 species
GGGCACAUGGUGUAGUUGGUUAUCACGCCCGCUUAGCAUUUAGAUCUUUCCAAGGUCCCAAUCACUGCGGGCGGUGCCCGGUUCAAUUCCGGGUGUGUCCA